GAGGCAGUCGCUGGCGCCUUUGGCGUUAGAGGAAAGUCCAUGCUCGCACCAUCUGCGAUGAUGGUAGUGUUUGUGCCAGCCUAAUCAAUAAGACUGGGUACCGAAAGGUAACGGCGGAGUGAGAACCUAAAACAAAUUGUUAUGUCAUGGUUUAAGCCCUUAAGGUGUCACAGUGACGUAGUCGCUAAGGAAACUUAGCGAGUGGAACGAGAUAAACCCCACAAGCGAGAAACUCAAAUUUGGUAGAGGAACUGCAGAAGGCGAACUGAAGCGUAAUGCAGGUGCUAUAUGCACAGAUAAAUGGCUGCCCCUGGUAACAGGACAGAACAUGGCUUACAA
rnacentral:RNase_P_RNA from 1 species